GGUUUGGGAUAACUAUGGGAAACUGUAGCUAAUACCAGAUGUGUCCGUAAGGAGAAAGAUUUAUUGCCUUUAGAUGAGCCCGCACUAGAUUAGUUUGUUGGUAGGGUAAAGGCCUACCAAGGCUACGAUCUAUAGCUGAUUUGAGAGGAUGAUCAGCCACACUGGGACUGAGACACGGCCCAGACUCCUACGGGAGGCAGCAGUGGGGAAUAUUGGACAAUGGGGGAAACCCUGAUCCAGCAAUGUCGCGUGAGUGAAGAAGGCCUUAGGGUUGUAAAACUCUUUCAGCAGUGAAGAUAAUGACUGUAACUGAAGAAGAAGCUCCGGCUAACUCCGUGCCAGCAGCCGCGGUAAUACGGAGGGGGCUAGCGUUGUUCGGAAUUACUGGGCGUAAAGAGCGCGUAGGCGGACUAAAAAGUUAGACGUGAAAUCCCUAAGCUUAACUUAGGAACUGCGUUUAAAACUGUUAGUCUAGAAUUUGGGAGAGGG
rnacentral:rRNA from 1 species